rnacentral:lncRNA from 1 species
CUCGGGGCAUAAUAGAAUAAUAUUAUUAGGUUUUACUCUUUGUUCGAUAGAAUGAGAAAAAGUACUCGUCGUAAAGUUAUACUGUUAGGGCGCAACUGAGUAGUCUAAUGUUGUUCCAGUUUUUGUUCUUGUGAACGUUGACAUCGAUUCGUUCCAAAUUUACACUCUCUGGGCAUAAUAGAACAAUAUAAUUAGUUUUACGCUUUGUUCGAUAGAAUGAAAAAAAGUACUCAUUGCAAAGUUAUACUGUUUGGGCACAACUGAGUAUUAUAAUAUUGUUCCGGCUUUAGUUCUUGUGAACAUUGACAUCGAUUCGUUCCAAAUUUACACUAUUGGGGCGUAAUAGAGCAGUAUAAUUAGGUUUUACUGUUUGUUCGAUAGAAUGAGAAAAAGUACUCGCUGCAAAGUUAUACUGUUAGGGCGCAACUGAGUAGUAUAAUGUUGUUUACAUUUUGGUUCUUGUGAACGUUCACAUCGAUUCGUUCCAAAUUUACACUCUCGGGACAUAAUAAAAUAAUAUAAUUAGGUUUUACUCUUUGUUCGAUAGAAUGGGAAAAAGUACUCGUUGCAAAGUUAUACUGUUAAGGUGUCACGCCCCCGCCCCGAGACCGCUACCGAUUUGGUCCGGUUCGGGCGCGGCGAACGGACCGCCGAACGGACAGCAACUCUUCUGUCCGCCCAAGGCUCAAACAGCGAUAUCAUGUAUCCAAGUUCCCAGGAAAUACACUUGAUUACAUACAUGAUCAAACAUCAACAACGAUGCACAAACGGUGCUUAUCCACCAAGAGCAAGCAACACAUGUAAAGCAUACAAGUGAUAAAAGAGAGAUAUACUUAACUAUUAAAUUCAUUUGACUUUAUACAAUUAUUCCAUUCUUUACAUUCUUCCGAAACUUAUAUACAAUCACUUUCAAAACCUUACCCUAUACAACAUCUACUCUCAAACAUAGAUACUGUCACGCCCCGGGACCGCUACCAAUUUGGUCCGGUCCGGGCUCGUCGAACAGACGCCGAACGGACAGGACCUCCGCUGUUCGCCCAAGGCUAACCAACAGAUCAUGUAUAAGAAUUUACCCAGGAAUCAAUUCAUAGAUACACGAUCACAAGUAGCACCACCAGUGCUAACAAGACGAGAGCAAGAUACAAGUAUGGAAACAUAUACAAGUACAUAAAGAGAGAAGAUGCUAUCUAUUACAUUCAUUUGACUUAAUACAUUUAAUUACAUCUUUUACAUUCUUCCAAAAUAUAAAUACAAUCACUCAACCUCACCCUAUACAACAUCUACUCUCAAACAUAAUACAGGGUAAAGCUAAUGCAAAAGGUAGGUAGCUAAUGCAACUAGGGCGCUAGGCCCUUACCGCGAUCCUCGCGCUCGCCUGGGACACCCGAACUCGAACCUGUAAAAAGUGGGGUGAGAACUAUCUUCCAUAGUUCCCAGUGGGUUCGGCCGCUGACUCCGCCGGUCUCCCCACUAGGUCCAAGUGGGCGCAAGUAGAUACACAGAUAGAUAGAUAUAGAAAGCUGUAGAAACGAAUAGUAAAACUACUCUACUGUGCCCAAAUCAUGUAUAUGAUGAAUGCAUGCACAAAGAAAUAGAUAGUUUGACUAGCUCUUCAUAUGUCCAAAAGGUAAAGCUAUUUACUGGUUCGUCAAUCUCGUGGGUCACUUAAGGAUCUAUCCAUUACUCACCUAGCCGUCUCGAUCACUACACAUCCGAGACCGUCUGCGGGACCCCAAAUAGGCCAUCCCUCGGGACCCCAAGUAGGCCAUCCCUAUCCCACGGGACCCCAAAUAGGCCAUCCCUCGUGACUGACUCCGGAGCGCACUACUUGUGUGGAGCGACCACCACAAGUUGGGAGCAGACAAUGAGUAUGAUCCCAAUUCUCCCACCUCAAGGGUACCCUAUCCUCUAGGGUUGCUGUCACCAUGGUCAAUAGGUUCUAUGUACGCUACGACUCACAAUGCCACUCGUUCUUUGUUAAUUAAUAACUAGGUGCCACUCGUUCUUUUAUUUCAACUAUUUUCAUCACUACACUAUAGGAUUACAAAACUCGACCCAAUCCUUAUCAAUCCCCUAUAUCCAGUUACCAAUGCAUAAUACGAUAUCAGAUGGGAAAUCAUAAGGAAAGGCGAUGCACAAUCAUCCUACAAUGCAUAUGAACUCAGGAUGCAAAGUCUUAAAAUACUAAGACAUAAGAGGGAGCCCGAUUGCUUCGGGAUGGACACCACCCACCUCUUGGCGAUGCCGCGACGGUAGAAAACUCGACGCUGCGGUCCUUGCACGUCGCUUCAACUCCUCGGGGCGAAGCGAGCCCUCAAGUACUCGAUUCGGCGAUAACUCCGCACACGCUUGUUGGAUCGACGAACCGUCUCCGCUGACGCGUCUAAGGACCUAGCAAUUAGGUUUGCGACCCAUUAAAUUAGAUCAAAACCCUCGAUUUCCAAGAAUCCCAAAUCCGUGCCCUAGAAUGGCAACGAGGGAGAAAUCCGUAGUGCGAGCUUCGAUUGCGAGCGCGAACCAUCCAUUUAUCUCCUCUAGGUUCCAUUCGAACCAAUUCUAAGCAAUAAAACCCUAACCCAAGAAAUCUACCAUGGUAGGGUUGAGGCUUACCUCCACAUAAAGCCCCAAGCUUGAGAGAGGGAGAGAAGAAGAUAAUCUUCUUCUUCUUCUUUGUCUUCUCCUUCCUCUUCUUCUUCUUUUCCUUCCUUUUCUUCCUCUCCUUCUUCUCCUUCUUUUCUUUCUAGAGAGAGAGAGGGAAAGAGUGUGAGAGGGAGAGAGAGCAAAUGAGAGGGAGAAGAGGUCCCCCAGCCUCUAUUAAAGGCCAUUUUGCAGAUAGCCCCCUCAACUUUUCAUCUAUUAAACAGCUUUCACUGGGCUGAUUUCGCAGUGAGGGACCGGUCCCAGCUCGGGGAGACCGGUCCCCGAGAGCUCUCCAUCUCGGGCAGAAGGAUUUCGCGUUUGGGAACUAGUCCUUGCCUGAGAGACCGGUCCCCGGGAGACCGGUCCUUGUCCGAGAGACCGGUUCCCGAGAGUUAGGUUUUCGGGACUUAGCCAAAUUUCGGCUAUUUUUCGCUGGGCCAACGUUCGGGAACCGGUCCCUGCCUGCCAGGGACCGAUCUCAUCAGAGACCCUCGCAGACCCAGCCUGAUGGGACCGGUCCCUCCCUGCCAAGGACCCGUCCCCGAGAGCAUUUCUGCUCCAGUGCAGGUUUUGCACUGGUGCUCUCGUGGACCCUUCCUUAAUGCACUUUAUGCAUUAUAAUCAACUUCGAACUUUCCGAAGCCUAUACACUCGACAAACAGUCGAUCCCAAAGGAAGUCUAAUCCUCGAAUUCCGAGGAUUCACUUCCUUACAGAUACAGGGUAGAGCUAAUGCAAAAGAAAGUAGAGCUAGCUAUGCACAUGUACCACUAUGGCGCUAGGCCCUUGCCGCGAUCCUCUCCGGGGCUACUCGUACUCGGACCUGCAACAAAGUGGGAUGAGAACUACGAAUAGUUCCUAGUGGGUUCGGCCGCCGACUCCGCCGAUCUUCCCACUAGGUCUAAGCAGGCACAGAUAAAUAUGCAGAUAGAUAGAUAUAUAUAAUUGAAAGCAUAAACGAGGAAUAAGCAAGUAUAGGUAUGAGCAUCUAACUAUGCCUCAAUCUGGAAUCAUGCAUGCAUGUCAUUCAUACUGAAUUCGUAGCUACCAUACUACUAUACUGAACAAUAAGGGUUAUUCAUUACUUUACCCAAUCAUUCGAUCAAUCCAGCAACACAAUCUCAUGUUUAUAAGUCUCGUAGGGAAAAGCCUCGCUGAACUAUUCCCCGAGACUGCCUGCGGACAGAUACACUGACUGUCCAGGCAGCGCAUGGCGACUGCCCCUCAAGUGACAAAUACUCCGGAGUGCACAGCCUGUGGGGAGCGACCCCAACAAGCGCAGACAGGCUAUGUGAGUAUAAUCUGAACUCACGAACUAGUCCUACCUACUAAGGUUGGUGUCAACAUAGAAUCAAGCGUCCCAAUACCCAAGCUCAUAGUGUUUUGCUACACUAGGGUUCUCAUGUCAAUAUCAACUAGAUGCCACUCGUUUGCGUUCAUUGUUAACUAGAUGCCACUCGUUCUUUUGACAAGUUCUCAAUACUCUAGUCCACACUGUACUAGUUUUCCAUAGCUACAUGUACAUCCAACACAUAUAGGGUUAAACUGUAUCAUACUACCUCGAGCACACUAGGUUCUAGUGCUAUAUCAACUAAGCCACAUUAACACUAGUAUGCAAACACAGAUAUUAAUAACUUAGUUCCCUAUGCCAUAUGUUCAAUAUGCAACUGAUCAACAUAGUAACUCAGACAUAGGGAGCAGUUCAACUGCUUCGGGAUGGCACUCCCCCACCUUUUCGUAGUGCCGCGUAGUUCGCAAACUCGACGUCGCGGUUCUUGUGCGUCGCUUCAACUCCUCGGGGCAAAGCGAACCCUCAAGUAUCAGUUUUGGCGAUAUCUUCGCGCUCGCUCGUCGGAUCGACGAACCGUCUUCGCCUACGCGUUCAGAGACCUAGCAAUUAGGUUUACAACCUAUUAAACGAGAUCAAAACCCUAACUUUCCAAAAAUCCUCGUGCCCUAGAAUGACAACGAUGGAGAAAUCCGUGGCGCGAGCUUCCAUUUCGAGCUCGAGCCAUCUCCGUAACCUCAAUAGGUUCCAUUUGAACCAUUUCUAAGCUAUAAAACCCAAUCUCAAGAAAUCCACCAUGGAUGGGUUUGGAGCUUACCUCUUUACCAAGCUCCAAGCUUGCUCUAGCUUGAGGGAGAGAGAGAGAAGAAGAUGAUCUUCUCCUUCUUCUUUCUCUACUUCUUCUCUUCUUCUUUCCCUUCUUCUUCUUCCUCUCCUUAGUCCACUCCUUUUUUUCCUUCGUUCAAGAGAGAGAGAGGGAAAGAGUGUGAGAGGGAGAGAGCAAAUGAGAGGGAGAGAGGGUCCCCCAGCCUCUCUUAUAGGCCAAUUUGCAAAUAAGCCCCUCAACUUUCCAUCUAUUAAAUAGCCUCUCACUGGGCAUUUUCACAGUGAGGGACCGGUCCUUGCUCGGGGAGACCAGUCCCCGAGAACCUCCUAUUCUGGCAGAGGGGAUUUCGCUUCCGGGAACCAGUUCCUGCCUGAGAGACCGGUCCCCGGGAGUCCGGUCCUUGUCCGAGAGACCGGUUCCCGAGAGUUGGAUUUUCGAGACUUAGCCAAAUUUUGGCUUCUCUCGCAGGGUUAACGUUCGGGGACCGGUCCAUAUCCGCCAGAGACCGGUUGCAUCAAGGAUCCUCGCCAGCCCAGCCUGAUUGGACCGGUCCCCGAGAGCAAUUCUGCUCCAGUGCAGAUUUUGCACUGCUACUCUCGCGGACUGUUCCUUAACGAACUUUAUGCAUUUUAAUCACCUCCGGACUUUCCGAAGCUUAUACCCUCGACAAUUAGUCGAUUCUAGACGAAGUCUCAAACUCGGAUUUCGAGAAUUCACUUCCCUUACAUAGGCCGCAACUGAGUAGUCUAAUGUUGUUCCGGUUUUGGUUCUUGUGAACAUUGACAUCGAUUCGUUCCAAAUUUACACUCUCGGGACAUAAUAGAACAAUAUAAUUAUGUUUUACGCUUUGUUCGAUAGAAUGAGAAAAAGUACUCGUCGCAAAGUUAUACUAUUAGGGCGCAACUGAGUAGUCUAAUAUUGUUCCGGUUUUUGUUCUUGUGAACGUUGACAUCGAUUCGUUCCAAAUUUACACUCUCUGGGCAUAAUAGAACAAUAUAAUUAGGUUUUACUCUUUGUUCGAAAAAAUAAGAAAAAGUACUCAUUGCAAAGUUAUACUGUUAUGGCGCAACUGAGUAACCUAAUGUUGUUCCGGUUUUGGUUCUUGUGAACGUUGACAUAGAUUCAUUCCAAAUUUACACUCUCGGGGCAUAAUAGAACAAUAUAAUUAGGUUUUACUCUUUACUCGAUAGAAGGAGAAAAAGUACUCGUCGCAAAGUUAUACUGUUAGGGCGCAACUUAGUAUUCUAAUAUUGUUCUGGUUUUUAUUCUUGUGAACGUUGAUAUCGAUUCGUUCCAAAUUUACACUCUCGGGGCAUAAUCGAACAAUAUAAUUAGGUUUUUCUCUCUAUUCGAUUGAAUGAGAAAAAAUCCUCGUUGCAAAGUUAUACUGUUAGGGCGUAACUAAGUAUUCUAAUGUUGUUCGAUUUUGGUUCUUGUGAACGUUGACACAGAUUCAUUCCAAAUUUACACUCUCGCGGCAUAAUAGAACAAUAUAACUAGGUUUUACUCUUUGCUCGAUAGAAUGAGAAAAAGUACUCGUCGCAAGUUAUACUGUUAGGGCACAACAGAGUAGUCUAAUGUUGUUCUGGUUUUCGUUCUUGUGAACGUUGACAUCGAUUCGUUUCAAAUUUACACUCCUGGGGCUUAAUAGAACGAUAUAAUUAGGUUUUACUCUUUGUUCGAUAGAAUGAGAAAAAGUACUCGUCGCAAGUUAUACUGUUAGGGCACAACAGAGUAGUCUAAUGUUGUUCUGGUUUUCGUUCUUGUGAACGUUGACAUCGAUUCGUUUCAAAUUUACACUCCUGGGGCUUAAUAGAACGAUAUAAUUAGGUUUUACUCUUUGUUCGAUAGAAUGAGAAAAAGUACUCGUCGCAAGUUAUACUGUUAGGGCACAACAGAGUAGUCUAAUGUUGUUCUGGUUUUCGUUCUUGUGAACGUUGACAUCGAUUCGUUUCAAAUUUACACUCCUGGGGCUUAAUAGAACGAUAUAAUUAGGUUUUACUCUUUGUUCGAUAGAAUGAGAAAAAGUACUCGUCGCAAGUUAUACUGUUAGGGCACAACAGAGUAGUCUAAUGUUGUUCUGGUUUUCGUUCUUGUGAACGUUGACAUCGAUUCGUUUCAAAUUUACACUCCUGGGGCUUAAUAGAACGAUAUAAUUAGGUUUUACUCUUUGUUCGAUAGAAUGAGAAAAAGUACUCGUUACAAAAUUAUACUGUUAGGGCGCAACUGAGUAGUCUAAUGUUCUUCCGAUUUUUGUUCUUCUGAACGUUGACAUCGAUUCGUUCCAAAUUUACACUCUCGAGGUGUAAUAAAAUAAUAUAAUUAGGUUUUAGUCUUUGUUCGAUAGAAUGAGAAAAAGUACUCGUUGCAAAGUUAUACUGUUAGGGCGCAACUGAGUAGUCUAAUGUUGUUCCGGUUUUGGUUCUUGUGAACGUUGACAUCGAUUCGUUCCAAAUUUACACUCUCGAGGUGUAAUAAAAUAAUAUAAUUAGGUUUUAGUCUUUGUUCGAUAGAAUGAGAAAAAGUACUCGUUGCAAAUUUAUACUGUUAGGGCGCAACUGAGUUUUCUAAUGUUGUUCCGGUUUUGGUUCAUGUGAACGUUGACAUCGAGUCGUUCCAAAUUUACACUCUCGGGAUAUAAUAGAACAAUAUAAUUAGGUUUUACUCUUUGUUCGAUUGAAUGAGAAAAAGUACUUGUUGCAAAGUUAUACUGUUUGGGCGCAACUGAGUAGUCUAAUGUUAUUUCGGUUUUGGUUCUUGUGAAUGUUGACAUCGAUUCGUUCCAAAUUUACACUCUCAGGGCAUAAUAGAACAAUAUAAUUAGGUUUUACUCUUUGUUCAAUAGAAUGAGAAAAGUACUCGUUGCAAAGUUAUACUGUUAGGGCGCAACUGAGUAGUCUAAUGUUGUUCCGGUUUUGGUUCUUGUGAACGUUGACAUCGAUUCGUUCCAAAUUUACUCUCUCAGGGCAUAAUAGAAU